rnacentral:snRNA from 1 species
UUUUAAUAGAAAAUUGUUCAAAACUCCGAUAAAAUUGGAACGAUAAAAUUUGCAUGGCCCUGGGCAAGGAUGAAACACACCAAUCAAGAAAUGGUCCAACCUUUU